GCCCAUGGGUCUGAGCUGGAGGGGUUGGGAGGGGGCCAGGUACUGGGCUAAACAGGCCCAUUGGCCUCACCCGGGGUGGCAGUGCCCCCAGCUGAGGUCUCAUUCUCUGUUUCCUCAGUCCUG